rnacentral:rRNA from 1 species
AAACGGAGCUAAUACCGGAUAAUAUAUUGAACCGCAUGGUUCAAUAGUGAAAGACGGUUUUGCUGUCACUUAUAGAUGGAUCCGCGCCGCAUUAGCUAGCUGGUAAGGUAACGGCUUACCAAGGCAACGAUGCGUAGCCGACCUGAGAGGGUGAUCGGCCACACUGGAACUGAGACACGGUCCAGACUCCUACGGGAGGCAGCAGCG